UCUGUCUCUUGCGCCUCGAUCGCAAUGGCGCUGCGCGAUUAGCCGCAAGCGCUGGGGUUUUAGCUAGAUCUUGGCGCCGCUGUGAGAUUUUCGAGCAUUCGAAGUCCCGCCUUCUACUGCUCUUGAGAGAUUUUAGUCCCUUUUGAGAGAUUUCUCGAGCCUCGUGACGAAAUUUUCUUUUGACCUUAGUGGAUGGCUAGCUCUUUGUUUCACUAGCUUCGUUUACACGUAGAUGAGCUAAAGUUCUCGGUCUUUUGGAAAUUUCUACAGCCUCGUGCCGAGAAAUUUCGUUUUGAGCUUUCCAUGGCUAGCUCUUUCUUGCUUCUUUUUCGUUCUUCGCAUGAAGACGAGCUAAAAGAUCUCGGUCUUAGGACUAGUGCUUUUCCCUUCUUGCUGCAUUUUCAUUUUAAGACAGCACUUUCCCAGUGUAAGUCUAGAGUUUGUCGACCAUUAAAGAUCGGCUUCUGGGAAUAUUGGCGCUGGUAGUGGUCCCGAAAAGGCUGCGGAUAUCUCAAUCAGGAACUUAUUACAGCGACGACUGCUGGUGGCUCUGGCAACAAGCGCGGGCGACAUGGUGUCGCAGCUGCAACUCUGCAGGGAUUACUAAUGUGGCAAACAGAUAAGUAGCGAAGCGGCAUCUCUUGCUUGCUCCAUUCCAUUUUACGUCCAGUCUUUAUGGGCACAGCGUGAUGUUUACGUCUUUGGUACUACUCUCUGUCUAUCUGAAGUCACCAAAGUCUUUUCUUUUUUCUUUUUUCUGAAGUGUUUGGGUGGGAAGCAAGAAUAAAGGACAAGGACUAGUUGUGCUUUAGCCAUCCUUGUUGGGGGUCUGUCUAUGUCUAAACUUGUGGUUUAAGUGGUCCGGUGUGCUACUUGAACUUUGGAUUUUAAGUGGUCCUGUGUGCUACUUGUGCUUUGGACUCUACUGAUUUGAGAUUGUGUUGGUCUUUGCAGUAAAAGUUGGCUGGUCUAAAGGUGCUCUGCCAUGUUUGUCGUUUUUUUUUGCAAAUUUUUCUCUCACGUUUUUUCGUUUUUUUCUUUUUCUAUUUAUCUCAUUGCUGCAUUCUGUCUGAAUGUUCUUCAUGUAAACGCACUUUUCUAACUUGAGGCUCGUCCGGCCGCGUCAUUCAUUCUGGCGCAAAUAAAGAUACCAGGUCAUUGGGCUUUUGCCGCUCCGCUUCCUCUUCUUGAAAUAUGCUGCAUACGUACGCAUAUCGUAAUGCUUGUUUUACAAGUGGAUCUGCCUGUUAAGGGAUGAACCGUAUGCCAUGCGUGUUGCUAGCUUCCUUUCUUAGUGGCUUUGCUAAAAGCGUGGUUCAGGUGCACGAUGUCCGAAAGGUUGGACCGUGAAGCAGCGCUUAAACAGUUCAUAAUGGUGUUACGGAGGACACAGCAAAAGGGCCAUUCUGUGAGGCAAGGCAAGCAUUAUUUCUUUUCUUCUUGAAACGAGGCAAGUAAAUUCUGUAUUCCAGUAACUGGAUCCUGUUCAAGUUUAUGAACUGAUCCUAAAGAGAAUAGCAUGAUAUGGAAAUGUCUUCCUCUCUAAAAUUCAGCCAGGGAUUGCAGAGUGCCAACAGAUAUGAGGAAGACUGGCUGAUGUUGUCGAACUGCCAGACCAGGCACUGCCAUGGCAAGGACGAUUGAAGAAGAAAGGGAUCGCAAUGCUCGCUGCAGUGACGAUGCGAUGCCGAUGAGAUGAGAGCUGCUUUCUUUCUGGGUUACAAUUGGACAUAUGCGAUGCGACAAGCGUGGACAGAGGCCGCAUGCUGAUUCCCAAUGCGGAUGUUAAAUCCCCAAGCUUUCUAGAAGAGGUGGCUUUCUUUAUUCCUCGCUUGUGUUUGCUGGCCCCAAUAGGAAUCGAUCAUGCUACUGGCUCCUGUGCUUCCUUCGGAUUUGAAAAGCCUUUGUAAAGGUGCGUGCCACUGCUUCACCAAAUGGACACUCGAAAAUCAUGGAGUUUACUUUGUCCAGAUGCCUUAACGCGCAAACUCUCAGAUGCCUUAAAGCAUCCAUUUGGUUUCCAUCAUCGUCUUACAACAACAGGCUUGUCGUGGGUUAUAAGUGGAUUUGGAGAAGAUCCUGCUCAAAGGAAUCUUACACAAGGUUGAGCGUGACUGGAGCAGUUUUCGAGUGACAUAUCGCCCCAAAUGCUUUCUAAAGCUUUGGACUAUUCGAGGACCACUGAGUAGUUAACAGAGAUGGGUGGACAGCUACCAAAGGGAGACGGGGGGAUCGGCAUCUCGUGAGUGUUGGAAUUGGAAGAUGCCGCUGCUGCUGAAGAUAAGACUUGCGGAGGAAACGAGCCACGUGGAAGAAGCGCAAUUGAUGGUUUGUCGGCCAUGCUUUUGUCAAACUUGGGAGAUUCGGCUUUGAAACAAUUGAGCUGAGAGAUCCAGUCCAGUGAGCAAAAGGGAGUUUACUCGCAAUGUGGACGUAGUAAAAGACACGGAAAAGCAAUCAAGCUGGUGAACUGCAAAUUGUGUGACCUUACUCGAUUCAUACUGCGCAAGUUGCAACAAGGAGGGAAAUGGUCGGUGACUUGACUCGCCCGAGGAGGAGGACUCCGAGUGCGUGCGGUGCGGCCACAAAACUCGAGUGUUAUCCUCGACGCUGCUUUAAAGGUAAACAAAGAAGAAGACCCUUCCCUACGUGUGCUGCGCCGGGCGGAGCUCAAAAAACAGCACACACUCACACACACAGACACGGACGGUCUGCCGACUGUUCGUACUGUGGACCAACUUGUGUUGUGUGUGUGAGUGUGGGGUGGUUUUUAUGAGCUCGCCCACGCACACACCCCACACACUCAAAGAAAUGCCACUGCUGCUGGCUACACUACCGCUUCUGCUUUGCACUGAACUUAACGAGGGGAGAAGCAACCUUAGAUUUGCCUUUUGCGUGGAAUGAAGAGGAAAGAAUAAUAUUUUAUAAGGCACAACAUGGAUCAUUUACUAUGUGAGGUAUAUAUAUAUCUAUAGGUGCUUGGAGGUACGUAGAAGGCAAGCAGCUUUAAGUUUAAAGCUGAGAGAGUUGUCAUUUCCCAGCUCACCUCGUCGGCGGAGGUACGGAGUGUUCGCCAUGGACGCCGACAAGCCGAGAUUUUGAGGAUUUUCUUAUUUCUUCCAGUUUGACUCGGGGAGGCAUGGUAAAAUCUUUCGGGCGAAAUGCUCUGCCCGUACUUUCCUAGGCUUGGAAAUGCUCACAAAAGUUCCUUUCU